UACGGGGGGGGCGAGCGUUGUUCGGAAUUACUGGGCGUAAAGGGCUCGUAGGCGGCCAACUAAGUCAGACGUGAAAUCCCCAGGCUUAACCUGGGAACUGCGUCUGAUACUGGAUGGCUUGAAUUCGGGAGAGGGAUGCAGAAUUCCAGGUGUAGCGGUGAAAUGCGUAGAUAUCUGGAGGAAUACCGGUGGCGAAGGCGGCAUCCUGGACCGACAUUGACGCUGAGGAGCGAAAGCUAGGGGAGCAAACAGG
rnacentral:rRNA from 1 species